CUUCAAAGAGCGGCACAUGUAGGUCUGGUAAAAUGUGGUAGACACCGCAGGUUUAUUUAUCUGUCAGCACUUUUGGCUAUUUUCAAUCUUCUUUCUUCCUUUCCUUUCAUCUGUUCGGUUUUCGCUAAAGCUACUUGAUGAUUUAUUUUACUUUCUCAUGUUCUUCUCCGAGUUGGUGCUGUGUAAUAUUCCUCUCUGUUAUUAGGCGAGUUUUAUUUUUCCAGUCCUUUCCUUCCCUUUCCCCGUGUUCAGAAAUUAUUUUCUAUCUGAAAAUUUGGGAGAACAUGACCUCUCUUGUUUAAAUAGAUAGUGUAAAUACAUGGCCAUAAGGUGUUUGCUUAUUUGCCUGACUGAAUUAUUCCACUGCGUAAUUAUUUCCAUACUGCAAUUCUGAAUAUAUAUUUGAAAGUUUCUCGAAGAGGCAACCAAGGUUUUGGAAAUGAAUAUUUUAAGCCUUUCUUGUAUUGAAUGAAAUGAUGUUUUAUGAAUCAUAGUAAUAUACCACAACAUAUUAGAACUGUGGCCUCGGAGUAUAGACCUUUCAAGAUGAGUAUUUCCUUCAAUUUCCUAUAAAAUAUCUCAUUUUCCUUUUGUUUGUUAAGUCGAUGCUUGAUUUUUAAUUAUUUGACUAUUAAAAUUUGGGGAUAUUACUAUUAUAGAAUCAGUAGAAGCCUCUUUAGUGAACAUAUUACAGGAAAUGCUUGAUAAAAUUUAGCACCUAAUUGUUUUUCCUUAAUUUUUUAUCUUUAAGUUAUCAGGUUGUUGUUUGCCACUCGAAGAUGUUUUAACAGUGUUUGUGUUAUCCACUUAUAGGCACAUUUGUCUAAUCAGAGGAGGUAUAAUGCGCAAUUGCAAUUAUUCAAUUGUAAGACAAUCGUGAUCUCUUUAGUGCCUUUGUUGCAUAAGAUAUUUUAUUUUCCUCUAUUUAAGCAUUCUCAAUUUCUAAAGUAGUGACAUGUUUGGUCACUCGCUUACUGAGGUAGCUUUAAAGUGUUAGUCGCUAAGCUGAUAUUGCUAGGAGUGUGUCCCUGGAACGGAAGAAACUGCAAGAAAAAUGAUAGGGUACCAAACACAUACUAUAUAUUUAUUUUCUCCGGGAAGAAUGGC
rnacentral:lncRNA from 1 species